rnacentral:rRNA from 1 species
UGCCAGCAGCCGCGGUAAUACGAAGGGACCUAGCGUAGUUCGGAAUUACUGGGCUUAAAGAGCUCGUAGGUGGUUAAAAAAGUUGAUGGUGAAAUCCCAAGGCUUAACCUUGGAACUGCCAUCAAAACUUUUUAGCUAGAGUGUGAUAGAGGUAAGUGGAAUUUCUAGUGUAGAGGUGAAAUUCGUAGAUAUUAGAAAGAGUACCAAUUGCGAAGGCAGCUUUCUGGAUCAUUACUGACACUGAGGAACGAAAGCAUGGGUAGCGAAGAGGAUUAGAUA